rnacentral:rRNA from 1 species
GACGAACGCUGGCGGCAGGCCUAACACAUGCAAGUCGAGCGAGCGGCGGACGGGUGAGUAAUGUAGGGGGACUGCCCGAUAGAGGGGGAUAACUACUGGAAACGGUGGCUAAUCACGCAUACUAUCGGAUAACCCAUAUGGGAUUAGCUAGGAGGUGGGGUAAAGGCUCACCUAGGCGACGAUCUCUAGCUGGUCUGAGAGGAUUAUCAGCCACACGGGGACUGAGACACGGCCCAGACUCCUACGGCGGCAGCAGUGGGGAAUAUUGCACAAUGGGCGCAAGCCUGAUUCAGCCAUGCCGCGUGUAUGAAGAAGGCCCUAGGGUUGUAAAGUACUUUCCGUCGGGAGGCGUUACCGACAGAAGAAGCACCGGCUAACUCCGUGCCAGCAGCCGCGGUAAUUC